rnacentral:lncRNA from 1 species
CGUGAAGAGAGAGAGAGUGAGUGAGAGAAUUUUUAAUUUAUUAUAAAAUUUAAAUUUUAUAAGUUUAAAAAUUAAAAUUUAUAUUUUUUAAAAUUUAAAAUUUAAAAUUUAAAAUUUGAAAUGUUUAAUUUUAAAUUUUAAAUUUUGAUAUUUUAAAUUUUUUAUUUAGAAUUUGAUAUUUUGUAUUUUUAAAUUAAAAUUUCAUCUUAAGUUUAAAGUUUAAAAUAUAAAAUUUAAAUUUUUUAAAAUUAUAAAUUUGAGAUUUUAAAAUUUUAAAUUUUAAUUUUGAAUUUUAAAAAUUUAAAAGUUUAUAUUUUAAAUUUUAAAAUAUAAAUAUAAAAAUUCAAAUUCUAAUAUAAAGAAAAGAAUAAUAUUAUUAUUUUUUAUUUAUAACUAUCCACUUUAAUUCUUAUUCCAUCUUAUCUAAUCAAACGCUAUUUUUUCUUAUUUCCAUGAAUAACUCAAUUUUCAUCGAAAGACAAAAUUGAUCUAAUCACGGCUUAUACCUCAAUUUAUACCUAUUCCCGCAAUACCCACUUUUUGCUUAUUCUCAAACCAAACGACGUAAGGCUUCGUUUGAUUCAGAAAUUAGUAGGAACUAGUUAUACCGUGGAUAGGUAUAAGUAUGAGUUUUUAUAAGAAUAAGGGUAUUUUUUGUUUGGAUUAAAAAUAUGAGCAUAAGCUGGAACUAGAAAAAAAGUAUUUGAAUGAUUAUUGAGAAUAAGAGAAAUAGUUGAUAUUUAUAAAUAAAAAAUAAUGAUAUUACCCCUAUAAUUGAAUUUAAAUUUUAAACUUAUAAUUUUAAAUUAAAAAUUUUAACUUUUAAAUUUAAAAUUUUAAAAUUUUAAAUUUUAAAAUUUAAAAUUUUAAAAAAUUUAAAUUUGAGA